CAGGAGCCUCCUGUCUCUCUAGUAGAUGACCUCGUAGACGGUGGCCUUCUUGUCUCCGGAUCCCGUCACGAUGUAUUUGUCAUCUGCUGAGAUGUCACAGCUCAGGACGGAGGACGACUCCUUCGACUGUGGAAGUAAGUUACCUGGAAUAUGCUGGCACCAUAAGGAGUCCUCCAUGCAUUCAGCAGAUUGUCCUUCCCUGUGCUCACAAACCAUUUACCUGCAAACACACAACAGACGCCAUGAGGAUAUAAUCUGAAGGUCUGUGUGAAGGAGCCUGUUACUUACCACAGUAGGCGAACUUGAGCGAGAGGACGCAGCUUUCGUGCAGGUGCAGCUGGUACUUGUCAGGCUUGGUGUGGUGAAGCACCUCCACGUUGCUGCUCUCCAUGCCCACA